AUAUAUAUAUAUAUGUAAGUGAUACAUAUAUAAAAGUAUAUAUACCAGGUGAGUAGGUCUGUCCAUACGGAACAGAUGAAUUGUGUCGGAACAGAUGAAUUGAAACACUUCCCGCACUUGAUGGACAACCAAAAUUUAUUUUUUUGGAGGAAAUUUUGAAGCCCUAACCAGUUAGUUCUUGCUUCAAAGUGAAAAUUUUGAGAUUUGUUGGUUAUGGCAGUAUCGGAGGAAGAAGAGUCCUCCGGCAGUAGCAAUUAUAAUAGGCCACGAUCGGCGGCAGUCCCAAACGGAGCAUGCUACCUCGCUAAAUGCGUACUCCGAGGAAGCGUUGUUCUUCAAGUGCUCCACGGUCACAUCCGCUCUCCUUCAUCCAACGACGUCGUCUUCGGCAAGGUUUUAUUUUUUACUCUUCAUUCUUCAAUUCCGUACUCCCUAUUUUUCAUUCAUUUUAUUACUCCUCUCCCCAAAAUGAAAGGCUCGUUUGCAAAAAAAAAAAAGGUAUUUCACAAAAGAAGUCCAUAUGUAUUUAAUGAUGACGGUAUAAGAGUACUCAAGUUUAAUAACACAAUUUCACUAUAUUAAACUAAAGGAAAUUGUUAAAUCCUCACUAGAAAAUGUUAUUUCCACAACAAAAGUGUGGCUAUAGAUCCUAUAGCGACGGUUUUCACCGUCACUAUACAUCUACAGCGACACUUUUAUUGUGGAAAUAACAAAAAAUAGUGUGGAUUUAACAAUUCCCCUAAAGGAAAUACUCAUUAUAUUAGGGAUAAACAUGAAAAAAAAACAUGUAUUUAAAGUUCGUAAAUGUUGCAAAUGGGGGACUCUUUUUGUUGAACCUAGGGAGUAUUAAUGUAUUAUAUAUGUACACACUAAGAUACAUAUUAGGGAGAAAGAUGAUACCAGAAUUGUCUCUUCAGUUUCUUUACAUGUUUGUUAGGUGGAAACCGAAAAGGAAGAGCUUUUGUUGGGAAAACCAAAUUGGGACAUUUAUUUUGGUUUUAAUGAAAAUUGUACAAAAAAUAUUAGAACAUGUACUCCCUUCAUUCUUUUGUAAUUGCGUCUUAGCAGUAAGAAAAAGCUAAUACUCUCUCUGUUCCUUAAUAUAGGUCGUUUUAGACAUGUGCACAAGAAUUAAGGAAAUGAUUGAAAAACAUUAACUAUAUUAUCAAUUGUCUAUAAUACCCUUCACCUCACUUAUCUCAUAAAUAUGGAUCAAAAAAUUAAGUGGAGUAAUAAGGGGCAAUUUGGGAAAAAUAGUGAUCAAUUCUCCUAGAUAAACACAAACGACAAAUAAUUAGGAAUAACAAAAAAAGUCUAAAACAACUUACAUAUAGGAAUGAAGGGAGUAUUAAGAAAUGUAAAUAAUGCUUUGAUAGAUCAAAAUGGGUAUAAAAUCUCAUUAUUACCUGAAAAAGAUGAAAGAGAAACAAAUUAUUAUUUAGUUUAGGGAUAAUAUGAGUCUUUGAAAUUUACAAACAACAAAUAUAAAAAUGAACAAAUUUCACUAAUUAAAAAGACAAUAAAAAAGAACGGAGUGAUUACUAAAUUGAAGGCAUCAAAACAUGUUAGAAUUUGAGUUUAAAUGAAGCUUUUAAACAUGAGUUUUUAAGCUAGAAUUUAAGUGGGUCCUAUUAAUCAUUUGAGAUGAGUCUACAUAUGUGUUCUACUCCAUGAGUAGAUUAAAAUCAAGUAUUAGGAAGAUCAAAUUCAUGGGGUAAUGAAUGAGAAUUUUUUCCAAAGAUCACCACUUAAAUAUGAUAAUAAAGGCUUGUGGGAAAUAAGUGUCCCACAUGGAUUAAGAACUAAACAUCAAAUGGAUAUAUACACAAUUAGAUUAGUCUUGGGUUUGGGCCCCAAGGGGCACCUCACUUUUUUGAAGGGGAGAGGACUUGGCCAAGACUUGGUUUCGGUUUACCACACUCGCGCCACCGCCGCCCCGGGCGGUUGUAUAUAUCUUUUUGAGCAAUUUUUUUUAUUUUUGUUUUGCUUAGUCCCUUUAAUUUUAUUUAUUACUAGUAGGUGAAACUGUCGUUUUGGGAACUAGGGAACAACGCCGCAACCCCUAGACACAGCGCCGCAACGCUUACUGAAAGUCUGGCACUGCUGCGCUAUUAUCUAGAGCCGCAACGCUGGUUGCUUCUGCACGCACCUGUUCGUUCAAAUUGAACAACCAUACUUUUUCAUUUAAACUGAACACAUGUGUCCAGUCGGAUCCAAGGGUUAUGUCCAGUGAUGAAGGGCCAUUAAUCAUCUAUAAAUAUCCUACGAAUUCAGUCAUUCAAACAUUCAAUUUUUGCAUCAACUUUUCAAUUAUAUUUGGAGUCCAUUUGAGAGAGUUCAAAACAUUGCCCGGUUCGCUGAGUGUGCUAUUUGUAGUGUUGCUAUAGUACAUGUGGUCAUUGUAUCCUGAGAGACGAACACUACUAACUCUAAGCACCAAAUGAGAGCGUAAUUGUUUUAAAGACAUAGUACCAAGUACUAACCUUGACUAACUGCAAUCCUUUUUCUAUAUUUUCUGCAUUUACUUUAAUCUACCAAAUUUGGAAUAUGAUUUACAUCAGAUUGGAAGAUAGAUAUUUUUCCUAACAAUCUUAAGACAAUCACUCCAUAAUCCCAUAUUGUUGCAAUAAAUGGCUACAAAAUAUGUAAUUGUGGUGGGUUCGUGUCCUGCCCCAGUGAUGGCUAAUGUGCCUGUGAACCAUGGGAAAAAAUUAGAGAGGGUCAAUGGAACAAAAUUAAAAAAGAUGGCAACAAAAGAUGUUUUAUCUCACUACACUAAAUUUGGCAAGAUUUCUUCAUGAAGAUUCUCCUAUGCUUAUUCAGAAGCAAGUGAUUGCUGUAGUAAAUGCAUGGAAGCAUGUUGAUUUUUUGUGUUGAAACUACAUUAUCAAUGGACUGGACAACACAUAAUAUAAUGUGUAUAGUUCUCUCAAGAUGUCAAGAAAACUAUUGGAUUCCUUGGAUAAGAAGUAUAAAACGGAAGAUGCUGACACGAAAAAGUUCGUAGGUGGCAGAUUUCUUGGCUAUAAGAUGGUGGAUUCCAAGG
rnacentral:lncRNA from 1 species